rnacentral:rRNA from 1 species
AUUGAACGCUGGCGGCAGGCCUAACACAUGCAAGUCGAGCGGAGCGUCGUACGCGUGUGUUAUGCCUAGUUAUCUGCCUGGUCGUGGUGGAUACCGUCCGGUCACGGGCGCUAAUACCGCAUCCUAUCAGAUGAGCCUAGGUCGGAUUAUCUAGUUGGUGGGGUAAAGGCCUACCAAGGCGACGCUCCGUACCUGGUCUGAGAGGAUGAUCAGUCACACUGGAACUGAGACACGGUCCAGACUCCUACGGGAGGCAGCAGUGGGGAAUAUUGGACAAUGGGCGAAAGCCUGAUCCAGCCAUGCCGCGGGUGUGAAGAAGGUCUUCGGAUUGUAAAGCACUUUAAGUGGGGAGGCGGUACCAACAGAAUAAGCACCGGCUAACUUCGUGCCAGCAGCCGCGGUAAUAG